rnacentral:ribozyme from 1 species
CUAUGGACUUAAUUGGAUUGAGCCUUGGUAUGAAAACCUACUACGUGAUAACUUUCAAAUUCAAGGAAACCCUGGAAUGAAAAAUGGGCAAUCCUGAGCCAAAUCUUAUUAUUUUAUGAAAAUAAGCAUGCAAAAAGGUUCAGCAAGCGAGAAUAUAAAAAAAAAGGAAAGGAUAGGUGCAGCUAUUCUAAUAAAUGGGGUUGAUUGUUGG